GUAAUCCUAGUCCUCUCUGCUCUUAUUGAUUGGUUGGACCAAUCAACUGACCCCAUUCUGGCCAAUGAGAUAAAAGGGCUGCUCUGGAACGGGUUUUCUCUUUUGUCAUCCUGCUGCUGCUGCUGCUGCUGCUGCUGCUGCUAAGUCGCUUCAGUUGUGUCCGUCUCUCACCAGGCUCCCUCGUCCCUGGCAUUCUCCAGGCAAGAACACUGGAGUGGGUUGCCAUUUCCUUCUCCAAUGCGUGAAAGUGAAAAGUGAAAGUGAAGUCGCUCAGUUGUGUCCGACUCUUCGCGACCCCAUGGACGGCAGCCUACCAGGCUUCUCCGUCCAUGGGAUUUUCCAGGCAAGAGUACUGGAGUGGGUCGCCAGUGCCUUCUCCCGCUUUUGUCAUAAAGGAGAGGAAAAGGGGUUGAUGGUUUCGCCUUUUCUUCUCACCUUUAAGUGUGUUUUUUGAGGUGAUAGUGGUUAGAGCUCGAGGGACAAUAUUUCUAAUUCACUGAGGAUGAAAUGGAGUGCACGGACGAAGGACACCUUGGAGCAACAGAACCAAUUGCUCUGCUGACUCUUCUGGGCUCCUCGUUCUGUGAGGAAGAUUCUCACAACCCCUUUUCACCAGAAUCUUCAGGAUGGAGGGAGGGUCUUGCAGCUGCAGGAGAGGCUCUGCUCAGGCCCCCCUCACUCCUCCCGAUUUGAACUUCUGGACCAGCGUCUGGCUUGCCUGCCCGUCCUCCCUUGUUCCCAAUUAGCCUACAGUCUGCUGCCAGAAUUCAUCUUCUAAAUUACAACUCCAAUGAUGUAGUUCAACAGAGCAUAAAUUUUCUUGACUCCACAUUGGCUAUUAAAUUAGAUAAAUGUAUCCAAGUGACAUUCUGAAUUCUCUUGAAUAUCAUUAAACAUAUUUUAAAUGUCUGAUA
ensembl:lncRNA